rnacentral:misc_RNA from 1 species
UCAGUGGGCAGGUUAGACUUUAAAUUAUUUCAAAAAGACAUGUUUUUGAUAAACAAGUGAAUAUAAAUUUUUGCCGAAUUCCUUAUAAUUAAUUUUACAUUUAAAAAUAUUUAAUAAUAUUAUUUAAAUUAAAUUUAUAUACUAAUUUUAUCAUUAUAACUAAAAUUAUUUUUUUAAAUUUUAUUUAUUUAUAAAAAAUUAAAUUUAAAAUUAAAUUUUAUUUUUUAUGAAAUUAUUUAUAAAAAAUUAUAAUUUUUAAACAAUAUAAAUUUUAAAAUUUUCAAAAAAAUUUAAUAUUAAUUAUAAAUAUUUAAAUUAAAGCUUAUCCCUUAAAAUAUUAAAUUUAAAUUUUAAAAAAUUUUUUAAUUAAUUUUUUAAGUAAUUUAAUUUAAAAUUAAAUUUUUUUCUAAAAAAACUAGAUAUAUUUAAAAACGAUUAACAUUUCAUUUCUAAUUAAUUAUGAAAAAUAUUUUUGCUACAAUAAAUUUUUUAAUUAAUUAACUCUUUUAAAUUCGAGAAUUUUUUCUUCAUAAAAAUUUUUAUUAAUAAACUCUGAUACACAAGAUACAAUAAAUAAAAUUUACUUUUAAUAUAAUUUAUUUUCAAUUAUUUCAAAUUUCUUUCACAAUACUAAUUUAUUAUAAAUUAAAUAAUUUUUUCUUUAUAAAAUACUUUAACCCCCAUUAAUUAUAUUUUAUUAAAAUUAUUUUUAUUAAAUAUUAUUAUACUAAUUUUCCCCCAAUCAAAUUAAAUAAAUUAUAUUAUCUUUUCAAUGUAAAUGAAAUGCUUAUAUCAAGCUCUAAUUUGUUCUUUCUAGAAACACUUUCCAGUACCUCUACUUUGUUACGACUUAUUUCAAUUUAUAAAUGAAAGCGACGGGCAAUAUGUACAUAUUUUAAUUUUUAAUCAUUUUAUUAAAUUAAAUAAAAUUACAUUUAAAUCCACUUUCAAUUUAAUUUUUCAACUAAAUAUUCAUAUAAAUAAAUUUAUUGUAAUCCAUUAUAUUCUUAAUUAUAAUCUGCAUCUUGAUCUGAUUUAGUUUUAAUUCUAAAUUUUAAAAUAUUAAAAUUUUUUAAAAAUAUUUUUUUAACAACGAUAUACAAAAUUUUUAAUUAAGUAAAAUUAUUCGUGGAUUAUCAAUUAAUAAACAGAUUCCUCUAAAUGAACUAAAAUACCGCCAAAUUAUUUAAGUUUCAAUAAAUAAUUAUCUACUAUUUUAGUAUAUUUAUUUAAAUUUUUAAUAAUAGGGUAUCUAAUCCUAGUUU